rnacentral:rRNA from 1 species
GAUGAACGCUGGCGGCGUGCCUAAUACAUGCAAGUCGAGCGAACGGACGAGAAGCUUGCUUCUCUGAUGUUAGCGGCGGACGGGUGAGUAACACGUGGAUAACCUACCUAUAAGACUGGGAUAACUUCGGGAAACCGGAGCUAAUACCGGAUAAUAUUUUGAACCGCAUGGUUCAAAAGUGAAAGACGGUCUUGCUGUCACUUAUAGAUGUAUCCGCGCUGCAUUAGCUAGUUGGUAAGGUAACGGCUUACCAAGGCAACGAUGCAUAGCCGACCUGAGAGGGUGAUCGGCCACACUGGAAAUGAGACACGGUCCAGACUCCUACGGGAGGCAGCAGUAGGGAAUCUUCCGCAAUGGGCGAAAGCCUGACGGAGCAACGCCGCGUGAGUGAUGAAGGUCUUCGGAUCGUAAAACUCUGUUAUUAGGGAAGAACAUAUGUGUAAGUAACUGUGCACAUCUUGACGGUACCUAAUCAGAAAGCCACGGCUAACUACGUG